AACGCAUAUGGCACCUUUUGACGCUUGUGAAAAGGUAUGCCUGUUUGAGAAUCAUAUUCCACCAUUCAUCCUGUUCCCUUGUUGAUCACUCCACUCGUGUGGUGGUUGAUGAGAGCAACAGGAUGGCACACUUGGACCUUUAUCAUUGAUCGUCCUGAAUCCUGCGAUGGUUGACCGUGUUGAUAGAUGAGGAUGGAGAGUGGAUGACAUGCGUGUCAUGUGGUCCGCUCGAUGUUCGUGUGCUUUGACACGUCAAGAAUACAAACAACAACAACCAUGAUCUCAAAUCAGGCAAGGCUACCCGCUGAACUUAA
rnacentral:misc_RNA from 1 species